rnacentral:rRNA from 1 species
AUUGAACGCUGGCGGCAUGCUUUACACAUGCAAGCCGAACGGUAACAGGUUAAGCUGACGAGUGGCGAACGGGUGAGUAAUGCAUCGGAACGUGCCCGGUCGUGGGGGAUAACACUUCGAAAGAAGUGCUAAUACCGCAUACGAUCUAAGGAUGAAAGCGGGGGACCGUAAGGCCUCGCGCGAUCGGAGCGGCCGAUGUCAGAUUAGGUAGUUGGUGGGGUAAAGGCCUACCAAGCCGACGAUCUGUAGCUGGUCUGAGAGGACGACCAGCCACACUGGGACUGAGACACGGCCCAGACUCCUACGGGAGGCAGCAGUGGGGAAUUUUGGACAAUGGGCGCAAGCCUGAUCCAGCAAUGCCGCGUGCAGGAAGAAGGCCUUCGGGUUGUAAACUGCUUUUGUACGGAGCGAAAAGGUCCUCUCUAAUACAGGGGGCUGAUGACGGUACCGUAAGAAUAAGCACCGGCUAACUACGUGCCAGCCGCCGCCGUAA